rnacentral:rRNA from 1 species
AGAACGAACGCUGGCGGCAUGCCUAACACAUGCAAGUCGAACGCUUUUGGGGCUUCGGUCCCAAAGGAGUGGCGCACGGGUGAGUAGCGCGUGGGAACCUGCCCUGUUGUGGGGGAUAACCGAGGGAAACUUCGGCUAAUACCGCAUACGCCCGGGGGAAACUCCGGGGAAAGAUUUAUCGCAGCAGGAGGGGCCCGCGUCGGAUUAGGUAGUUGGUGGGGUAACGGCCCACCAAGCCUGUGAUCCGUAGCUGGUCUGAGAGGAUGAUCAGCCACACUGGGACUGAGACACGGCCCAGACUCCUACGGGAGGCAGCAGUGGGGAAUAUUGGACAAUGGGCGCAAGCCUGAUCCAGCAAUGCCGCGUGAGUGAUGAAGGCCUUCGGGUUGUAAACCGCUUUCAGCAGGGACGAAAUUGACGGUACCUGCAGAAGAAGGCCCGGCCAACUACGUGCCAGCAGCCGC